UGCCUUCUCUUUCACUUGUGUGCCA
rnacentral:piRNA from 1 species